rnacentral:rRNA from 1 species
UACAGAGGUGGCAAGCGUUGUUCGGAAUUACUGGGUUUAAAGGGCUCGUAGGUGGCCAACUAAGUCAGACGUGAAAUCCCUCGGCUUAACCGGGGAACUGCGUCUGAUACUGGAUGGCUUGAGUUCGGGAGAGGGAUGCGGAAUUCCUGGUGUAGCGGUGAAAUGCGCAGAUAUCGAGGAGGAACACCGGUGGCGAAGGCGGGUCUCUGGGCCGUAACUGACGCUGAGGAGCGAAAGCGUGGGGAGCGAACAGG